UCUGGUAGUUAUAGCGCAGAGGCCACACCCGUUCUCAUCCCGAACACGGAAGUUAAGCUCUGCAACGCCGAUGGUACUGCGUGGGAAACUGCGUGGGAGAGUAGGAAGCCGCCAGGC
rnacentral:rRNA from 1 species